GGCUCAGGAUGAACGCUAGCUACAGGCUUAACACAUGCAAGUCGAGGGGCAUCAGGAAGAAAGCUUGCUUUCUUUGCUGGCGACCGGCGCACGGGUGAGUAACACGUAUCCAACCUGCCCUUUACUCGGGGAUAGCCUUUCGAAAGAAAGAUUAAUACCCGAUAGCAUAAUGAUUCCGCAUGGUUUCAUUAUUAAAGGAUUCCGGUAAAGGAUGGGGAUGCGUUCCAUUAGGUUGUUGGUGAGGUAACGGCCCACCAAGCCUUCGAUGGAUAGGGGUUCUGAGAGGAAGGUCCCCCACAUUGGAACUGAGACACGGUCCAAACUCCUACGGGAGGCAGCAGUGAGGAAUAUUGGUCAAUGGGCGCUAGCCUGAACCAGCCAAGUAGCGUGAAGGAUGAAGGCUCUAUGGGUCGUAAACUUCUUUUAUAUAAGAAUAAAGUGCAGUAUGUAUACUGUUUUGUAUGUAUUAUAUGAAUAAGGAUCGGCUAACUCCGUGCCAGCAGCCGCGGUAAUACGGAGGAUCCGAGCGUUAUCCGGAUUUAUUGGGUUUAAAGGGAGCGUAGGUGGACUGGUAAGUCAGUUGUGAAAGUUUGCGGCUCAACCGUAAAAUUGCAGUUGAUACUGUCAGUCUUGAGUACAGUAGAGGUGGGCGGAAUUCGUGGUGUAGCGGUGAAAUGCUUAGAUAUCACGAAGAACUCCGAUUGCGAAGGCAGCUCACUGGACUGCAACUGACACUGAUGCUCGAAAGUGUGGGUAUCAAACAGGAUUAGAUACCCUGGUAGUCCACACAGUAAACGAUGAAUACUCGCUGUUUGCGAUAUACAGUAAGCGGCCAAGCGAAAGCAUUAAGUAUUCCACCUGGGGAGUACGCCGGCAACGGUGAAACUCAAAGGAAUUGACGGGGGCCCGCACAAGCGGAGGAACAUGUGGUUUAAUUCGAUGAUACGCGAGGAACCUUACCCGGGCUUAAAUUGCAGUGGAAUGAUGUGGAAACAUGUCAGUGAGCAAUCACCGCUGUGAAGGUGCUGCAUGGUUGUCGUCAGCUCGUGCCGUGAGGUGUCGGCUUAAGUGCCAUAACGAGCGCAACCCUUAUCUUUAGUUACUAACAGGUUAUGCUGAGGACUCUAGAGAGACUGCCGUCGUAAGAUGUGAGGAAGGUGGGGAUGACGUCAAAUCAGCACGGCCCUUACGUCCGGGGCUACACACGUGUUACAAUGGGGGGUACAGAAGGCAGCUAGCGGGUGACCGUAUGCUAAUCCCAAAAUCCUCUCUCAGUUCGGAUCGAAGUCUGCAACCCGACUUCGUGAAGCUGGAUUCGUUAGUAAUCGCGCAUCAGCCACGGCGCGGUGAAUACGUUCCCGGGCCUUGUACACACCGCCCGUCAAGCCAUGGGAGCCGGGGGUACCUGAAGUACGUAACCGCAAGGAUCGUCCUAGGGUAAAACU
rnacentral:rRNA from 1 species